UGGGGAAUAUUGCACAAUGGGCGCAAGCCUGAUGCAGCCAUGCCGCGUGUAUGAAGAAGGCCUUCGGGUUGUAAAGUACUUUCAGCGGGGAGGAAGGGAGUAAAGUUAAUACCUUUGCUCAUUGACGUUACCCGCAGAAGAAGCACCGGCUAACUCCGUGCCAGCAGCCGCGGUAAUACGGAGGGUGCAAGCGUUAAUCGGAAUUACUGGGCGUAAAGCGCACGCAGGCGGUUUGUUAAGUCAGAUGUGAAAUCCCCGGGCUCAACCUGGGAACUGCAUCUGAUACUGGCAAGCUUGAGUCUCGUAGAGGGGGGUAGAAUUCCAGGUGUAGCGGUGAAAUGCGUAGAGAUCUGGAGGAAUACCGGUGGCGAAGGCGGCCCCUUGGACGAAGACUGACGCUCAGGUGCGAAAGCGUGGGGAGCAAACA
rnacentral:rRNA from 1 species